UACGUAGGGGGCGAGCGUUGUCCGGAUUUAUUGGGCGUAAAGAGCGUGUAGGCGGCUAGGUAGGUCCGUUGUGAAAACUCGAGGCUCAACCUCGAGACGCCGAUGGAAACCAUCUAGCUAGAGUCCGGAAGAGGAGAGUGGAAUUCCUGGUGUAGCGGUGAAAUGCGCAGAUAUCAGGAAGAACACCCGUGGCUAAGGCGGCUCUCUAGUACGGUACUGACGCUGAGACGCGAAAGCGUGGGGAGCGAACAGG
rnacentral:rRNA from 1 species